ACUGAUGGUGCGGAGCCGGGGCGAAGGGGACGUUGAACUGGACGUCCAGUUACUUGACGAGGACCCGAAACCAGGCGACCUACCAAUGAGAAGGGGGAAUGGAAAGUAGUAAUUCGUGGAGUUCCGAACCCACGAGCGUUGAAAAGCUCGGGGAUGACUUGUGGGUAGCGGUGAAAUUCCAAUCGAGCCCGGAGAUAGCUGGGUCUCCCCGAAAGAGCUUGAGGGCUAGCCUCAAGGUGAGAGAUACGGAGGUAGAGCGCUGAAUGUCCUAGGGGGUAUUGCACCUACCGAAGACUAUCAAACUCCGAAU
rnacentral:rRNA from 1 species